AGAGUUUGAUCCUGGCUCAGAACGAACGCUGGCGGCGCGUUUUAAGCAUGCAAGUCGAACGGUAAUAGAGUGCUUGCACUCUAUGAGAGUGGCGAACGGGUGAGUAACACGUAGAUGAUCUAUCUUUGGAUCUGGGAUAGCCUGUGGAAACACAGGGUAAUACCGGAUACGACCUUUUGGCUGCGGCUGGAAGGGGAAAGUCGCUUAGGCGACGUCCGAUGAUGAGUCUGCGGCUCAUUAGCUUGUUGGUAGGGUAAUGGCCUACCAAGGCGACGAUGAGUAGCCGGCCUGAGAGGGUGAUCGGCCACACUGGGACUGAGACACGGCCCAGACUCCUACGGGAGGCAGCAGCUAAGAAUCUUCCGCAAUGGGGGAAACCCUGACGGAGCGACGCCGCGUGAACGAUGAAGGCCGGAAGGUUGUAAAGUUCUUUUCCUGGGGGAGAAUAAUGCUUGGAGGUAAUGCCAGGCAGAUGACGUGAACCAGGGAAUAAGCCCCGGCUAAUUACGUGCCAGCAGCCGCGGUAACACGUAAGGGGCAAGCGUUGUUCGGAUUUAUUGGGCGUAAAGGGCGUGUAGGCGGUGAGAUAAGUUUGGUGUGAAAGACCCCGGCUCAACCGGGGGAACGCGCUGAAAACUGUCUUACUAGAGUGAUGGAGGGGAAACUGGAAUUCCUGGUGUAGGGGUGAAAUCUGUAGAGAUCAGGAAGAACACCGGAGGCGAAGGCGAGUCUCUGGCCAUCUACUGACGCUGAGGCGCGAAAGCGUGGGGAGCGAACAGGAUUAGAUACCCUGGUAGUCCACGCUGUAAACGAUGUGCACUAGGUGUUGGUCCGUUGAGGAUCAGUGCCGUAGCUAACGCGUUAAGUGCACCGCCUGGGGAGUAUGCUCGCAAGGGUGAAACUCAAAGGAAUUGACGGGGGCCCGCACAAGCGGUGGAGCAUGUGGUUUAAUUCGAUGAUACGCGAGAAACCUUACCAGGGCUUGACAUAAGCAUGACGGUUGUAGAGAUACAGCUUCUCUUCGGAGCAUGUUUACAGGUGCUGCAUGGCUGUCGUCAGCUCGUGCUGUGAAGUGUUGGGUUAAGUCCCGCAACGAGCGCAACCCCUUUCUUUAGUUACCAUCAUUUAGUUGGGGACUCUAAAGACACUGCCCCGGUUAACGGGGAGGAAGGUGGGGACGACGUCAAGUCCUCAUGGCCUUUAUGCCUAGGGCUACACACGUGCUACAAUGGACUGUACAAAGGGUUGCCAGCCUGUGAAGGUGAGCCAAUCCCAUAAAGCAGUUCGUAGUUCGGAUUGGAGUCUGCAACUCGACUCCAUGAAGCUGGAAUCGCUAGUAAUCGUGGAUCAGCACGCCACGGUGAAUACGUUCCCGGGCCUUGUACACACCGCCCGUCACACCAUGAGAGUUGGUUGUACCAGAAGUCGUUGGGCAAACCUUUACAGGAUGCAGGCGCCUAAGGUAUGGCUGAUGAUUGGGGUGAAGUCGUAACAAGGUA
rnacentral:rRNA from 1 species